rnacentral:pre_miRNA from 1 species
AGCCCAUCUUUGGGCUGCUGGCUUGUUGUUUGAGGCGGCAAGCUGCCCAAUGAAGGGCUGG